GAUGAACGCUGGCGGCGUGCCUAAUACAUGCAAGUCGAGCGAACAGACGAGGAGCUUGCUCCUCUGACGUUAGCGGCGGACGGGUGAGUAACACGUGGAUAACCUACCUAUAAGACUGGGAUAACUUCGGGAAACCGGAGCUAAUACCGGAUAAUAUAUUGAACCGCAUGGUUCAAUAGUGAAAGACGGUUUUGCUGUCACUUAUAGAUGGAUCCGCGCCGCAUUAGCUAGUUGGUAAGGUAAUGGCUUACCAAGGCAACGAUGCGUAGCCGACCUGAGAGGGUGGUCGGCCACACUGGAACUGAGACACGGUCCAGCCUCCUACGGGAGGCAGCAGUAGGGAAUCUUCCGCAAUGGGCGAAAGCCUGACGGAGCAACGCCGCGUGAGUGAUGAAGGUCUUCGGAUCGUAAAACUCUGUUAUUAGGGAAGAACAAAUGUGUAAGUAACUAUGCACGUCUUGACGGUACCUAAUCAGAAAGCCACGGCUAACUACGUG
rnacentral:rRNA from 1 species